rnacentral:rRNA from 1 species
UACGGAGGGUGCAAGCGUUAUCCGGAUUCACUGGGUUAAAGGGUGCGUAGGCGGGCAGAUAAGUCAGUGGUGAAAUACCUGAGCUUAACUUGGGAACUGCCAUUGAUACUAUUUGUCUUGAAUGUUGUGGAGGUUAGCGGAAUAUGUCAUGUAGCGGUGAAAUGCUUAGAGAUGACAUAGAACACCUAUUGCGAAGGCAGCUAACUACGCAAAUAUUGACGCUGAGGCACGAAAGCGUGGGGAUCAAACAGG